UGGCGGCAGGCCUAACACAUGCAAGUCGAGCGAGACCUUCGGGUCUAGCGGCGGACGGGUGAGUAACGCGUGGGAACGUGCCCUUCUCUACGGAAUAGUCCCGGGAAACUGGGUUUAAUACCGUAUACGCCCUUCGGGGGAAAGAUUUAUCGGAGAAGGAUCGGCCCGCGUUGGAUUAGGUAGUUGGUGGGGUAAUGGCCUACCAAGCCGACGAUCCAUAGCUGGUUUGAGAGGAUGAUCAGCCACACUGGGACUGAGACACGGCCCAGACUCCUACGGGAGGCAGCAGUAGGGAAUCUUAGACAAUGGGGGCAACCCUGAUCUAGCCAUGCCGCGUGUGUGAUGAAGGCCCUAGGGUCGUAAAGCACUUUCGCCAGAGAUGAUAAUGACAGUAUCUGGUAAAGAAACCCCGGCUAACUCCGUGCCAGCAGCCGCGGUAAUACGGAGGGGGUUAGCGUUGUUCGGAAUUACUGGGCGUAAAGCGCACGUAGGCGGAUUAGUUAGUUAGAGGUGAAAUCCCAGGGCUCAACCCUGGAACUGCCUUU
rnacentral:rRNA from 1 species